rnacentral:rRNA from 1 species
AGUACCCCGCCUGGGGAGUACGACCGCAAGGUUGAAACUCAAAGGAAUUGACGGGGGCCCGCACAAGCGGUGGAGUAUGUGGUUUAAUUCGACGCAACGCGAAGAACCUUACCAGGUCUUGACAUUGAUGGACAGAACUAGAGAUAGUUCCUCUUCUUCGGAAGCCAGAAAACAGGUGGUGCACGGUUGUCGUCAGCUCGUGUCGUGAGAUGUUGGGUUAAGUCCCGCAACGAGCGCAACCCCUAUCUUAUGUUGCCAGCACUUCGGGUGGGAACUCAUGAGAGACUGCCGCAGACAAUGCGGAGGAAGGCGGGGAUGACGUCAAAUCAUCAUGCCCCUUAUGACCUGGGCUACACACGUACUACAAUGGGAGUUAAUAGACGGAAGCGAAACCGCGAGGUGGAGCAAACCCGAGAAACACUCUCUCAGUUCGGAUCGUAGGCUGCAACUCGCCUACGUGAAGUCGGAAUCGCUAGUAAUCGCAGGUCAGCAUACUGCGGUGAAUACGUUCCCGGGCCUUGUACACACCGCCCGUCACACCACGAAAGUCGGAAGUGCCCAAAGCCGGUGGGGUAACCUUCGGGAGCCAGCCGUCUAAGGUAAAGUCGAUGAUUGGGGUGAAGUCGUAACAAGGUAGCCGUAUCGGAAGGUGCGGCUG